UACGUAGGGGGCAAGCGUUGUCCGGAUUUAUUGGGCGUAAAGGGCGUGUAGGCGGCUGGGAGGGUCGGCUGUGAAAACUCGAGGCUCAACCUCGAGACGUCGGUUGAAACCACCUGGCUAGAGUCCGGAAGAGGAGAGUGGAAUUCCCGGUGUAGCGGUGAAAUGCGCAGAUAUCGGGAAGAACACCCGUGGCGAAGGCGGCUCUCUGGGACGGUACUGACGCUGAGACGCGAAAGCGUGGGGAGCGAACAGG
rnacentral:rRNA from 1 species